UACGUAGGGUGCGAGCGUUAAUCGGAAUUACUGGGCGUAAAGGGUGCGCAGGCGGUUGAGUAAGACAGAUGUGAAAUCCCCGAGCUUAACUCGGGAAUGGCAUAUGUGACUGCUCGACUAGAGUGUGUCAGAGGGAGGUGGAAUUCCACGUGUAGCAGUGAAAUGCGUAGAUAUGUGGAAGAACACCGAUGGCGAAGGCAGCCUCCUGGGGCAUAACUGACGCUCAGGCACGAAAGCGUGGGGAGCAAACAGG
rnacentral:rRNA from 1 species